CGCAGAUGGGUGUGCUUUUUGUGCGCGCAUCACCUGCGAAAGGAACAGAGUGAGAAAGGAAUUGACUCGACUUGACAGGCCUGUGCUUUUUAGGGCUGCCUGGCUGUACGAUCCAAAGCAAUGUAGCCUAGCCACCUCGAGGAUACUUUAAAUUUGAAAUGCCCGUAGCAGUGAAGCAAAUACCCUUACACACUCUCAGAUGGAGCUGAGCACAUCGCAGGCCUAGACGUCACUUUACAAUAGAAUGGGAAGUGGAUAAGAACUAUUUGUUUGCACAAUUUACCUUAAAUACAGUAUAUGCAAGGUUUAUAGAUGAUACAUCACAUCUUGGGAACAUGUCCCAGGGCUUUAAAAUGGUUGCCAUUUUGUUGGAUUUGUUGUCAGGGGCGGACUGGCCAUUUGGCAUUUAAGGGAAAAUGCCAGACGGGUUGGUCCAUUUUUAGCACAGUCGGCCUAUCUAUCUUUGUUUUUUUGUUGUGCUAAUAAUGGCUAAUAAUUGGGGCCUUAUGGAAAUAAAUGGGCCGGUGUGGGGGACUCAAGGAAAAAAAUGGGGCAGUGUGUUAGCAGGUAAGGGACACAAACGGAUACAGUAAGAGCAGCGAAAGGCUUUUCCAAAGCUUUCUGAAAAAUAAAAACAUAAUUAUGAAUAGUGUUCUGGCCCCUGUAGGUGGGUUUGAGUUCCUUUAGGCUAUCGUGUAAUUAUAUUGUUGACCACUUGGGGGCCACUGUCCUGUGUUGAUGUGUGGUGUUCGUUUAAUGUGCUAAAUCCUGUAGAAAAAGAAUAGUUCACAUUACAAAAUGGUGAAAGUCAAAUUGUGGAGCUGCAGACGUUAUCAAACUCCAUCCUUCUUGCUAUCAUUUUGAAGCAUUGUCUAAGUAAAAUUAAUCAUAACAUAUUUGGCUUUCAAUUUAUGAUGACAUUUUGUACAGAUUAUUGUUUUAAUGAGAUUUAUGAAUAGAUAACUGUCGAGUGCAUUUGAUCUUGUCAUGUUUUUGGGAAUUAGUUUCAUUUGAUUUAAUGCAUAAUGCCGCGUAUUUCUGUGUUCAUGAACAUGUAUACAAAUACAUGCUGUGUUAUUAUUGAGAAUUAAGCCUAGUAUUCAGCUAGCAUACAACAAGUCAUACUCAUUGUUCUUUUCUUUCUAUAUUUCAGUUUCUCAUUUCAGUCACUAUUACUGUACCUAUGAAGCGGUGGCAAUAAAUCAUCCUUCAAC